rnacentral:rRNA from 1 species
GAUGAACGCUGGCGGCGUGCCUAAUACAUGCAAGUCGAGCGAACAGACGAGAGUGCUUGCACUCUCUGACGUUAGCGGCGGACGGGUGAGUAACACGUGGGUAACCUACCUAUAAGACUGGGAUAACUUCGGGAAACCGGAGCUAAUACCGCAUAAUAUUUAGCUUCGCAUGAAGCAAUAGUGAAAGACGGUUCUGCUGUCACUUAUAGAUGGACCCGCGGUGUAUUAGCUAGUUGGUGAGGUAACGGCUCACCAAGGCAACGAUACAUAGCCGACCUGAGAGGGUGAUCGGCCACACUGGGACUGAGACACGGACCAGACUCCUACGGGAGGCAGCAGUAGGGAAUCUUCCGCAAUGGACGAAAGUCUGACGGAGCAAUGCCGCGUGAGUGAAGAAGGUUUUCGGAUCGUAAAACUCUGUUGUAAGGGAAGAACAAGUACGUUAGUAACUGAACGUACCUUGACGGUACCUUACCAGAAAGCCACGGCUAACUACGUG